GACGUAGGGCGCGAGCGUUGUCCGGAUUUAUUGGGCGUAAAGAGCUCGUAGGCGGCUUGUCGCGUCGUCCGUGAAAACUCACAGCUCAACUGUGAGCUUGCGGUCGAUACGGGCAGGCUAGAGUUCGGUAGGGGAGACUGGAAUUCCUGGUGUAGCGGUGAAAUGCGCAGAUAUCAGGAGGAACACCGGUGGCGAAGGCGGGUCUCUGGGCCGAUACUGACGCUGAGGAGCGAAAGCGUGGGGAGCAAACAGG
rnacentral:rRNA from 1 species